UAGGGAAUCUUCGGCAAUGGACGAAAGUCUGACCGAGCAACGCCGCGUGAGUGAAGAAGGUUUUCGGAUCGUAAAACUCUGUUGUUAGAGAAGAACAAGGACGUUAGUAACUGAACGUCCCCUGACGGUAUCUAACCAGAAAGCCACGGCUAACUACGUGCCAGCAGCCGCGGUAAUACGUAGGUGGCAAGCGUUGUCCGGAUUUAUUGGGCGUAAAGCGAGCGCAGGCGGUUUCUUAAGUCUGAUGUGAAAGCCCCCGGCUCAACCGGGGAGGGUCAUUGGAAACGGGGAGACUUGAGUGCAGAAGAGGAGAGUGGAAUUCCAUGUGUAGCGGUGAAAUGCGUAGAUAUAUGGGGGAACACCAGGGGCGAAGGCGGCUCUCUGGUCUAUAACUGACGCUGAGGCUCGAAAGCGUGGGGAGCAAACAGG
rnacentral:rRNA from 1 species